AGAGUUUGAUCCUGGCUCAGAUUGAACGCUGGCGGCAGGCUUAACACAUGCAAGUCGAGCGGGGACUUCGGUCCUAGCGGCGAACGGGUGAGGAAUGCUUGGGAAUCUGCCCAGUAGCGGGGGAUAACGUUUCGAAAGGAACGCUAAUACCGCAUACGCCCUACGGGGGAAAGGGGGGGAUCUUCGGACCUCUCACUAUUGGAUGAGCCCAAGUCGGAUUAGCUAGUUGGUGAGGUAAAGGCUCACCAAGGCGACGAUCCGUAGCUGGUCUGAGAGGAUGAUCAGCCACACUGGAACUGAGACACGGUCCAGACUCCUACGGGAGGCAGCAGUGGGGAAUAUUGGACAAUGGGCGAAAGCCUGAUCCAGCCAUGCCGCGUGUGUGAAGAAGGCCUUCGGGUUGUAAAGCACUUUAAGCGAGGAGGAAUGGCUGAGGGUUAAUAACCUUCAGCAGUGACGUUACUCGCAGAAUAAGCACCGGCUAACUCUGUGCCAGCAGCCGCGGUAAUACAGAGGGUGCAAGCGUUAAUCGGAAUUACUGGGCGUAAAGCGCGCGUAGGCGGUUACGUAAGUUGGGUGUGAAAUCCCCGGGCUCAACCUGGGAAUUGCAUUCAAAACUGCGUGGCUAGAGUGUGGGAGAGGAAGGUAGAAUUCCAGGUGUAGCGGUGAAAUGCGUAGAUAUCUGGAGGAAUACCGAUGGCGAAGGCAGCCUUCUGGCCUAACACUGACGCUGAGGUGCGAAAGCAUGGGGAGCAAACAGGAUUAGAUACCCUGGUAGUCC
rnacentral:rRNA from 1 species